rnacentral:ncRNA from 2 species
UGCCAACCGUUGGGGUGCCCUGAUCAAAGGGCUGAGAGGCGUGAAUGCGUUAACCCAUCGAACCUGAUCCGGGCAAUGCCGGCGUAGGGAACGGUCUAAUCACUCAG